GAUGAACGCUGGCGGCGUGCUUAACACAUGCAAGUCGAACGAAGCGCCUUUAAUUGAUUUCUUCGGAAGGAUAUUAGAAGUGACUGAGUGGCGGACGGGUGAGUAACGCGUGGGUAACCUGCCUCAUACAGGGGGAUAACAGUUGGAAACGACUGCUAAUACCGCAUAAGCGCACGGUAUCGCAUGAUACAGUGUGAAAACUCCGGUGGUAUGAGAUGGACCCGCGUCUGAUUAGCUAGUUGGUGGGGUAACGGCCCACCAAGGCGACGAUCAGUAGCCGACCUGAGAGGGUGACCGGCCACAUUGGGACUGAGACACGGCCCAA
rnacentral:rRNA from 1 species